rnacentral:rRNA from 1 species
AUGCCGAGGGUGAAUAUUCCUGUGCCUAAGGUUCUGAUUUUGUUGAGGAUGUCCGAGGAAUCGCUUCAUCGAAGGUUCGAGUUCCUCAUCUCUGAGUUGGGGUUGGAACAGGCUUAUGUUGGUUAUCGCCCAGCAAUGUUCUAUUAUAGCCUGGAGGGCCCUCUGAAAUCCUGGUUCUGCUGUUUUACUUGGCACCUUAAGCUGGCAAGCUUUGUUUUAGUGUUCUUCCCUGACAAGAUGUUUGUUAUCUGGUAUGGUGGCUGUUGGAAAAUGAGAAAUUGUACUGGUCUUCAAGGUAGGGAUGAACAUUGGCGUUCAGCGCUUGGAGAAUGGCUGAAGAAGAGUGGUUUGGCACUCUGUCUGCUAGCUAUCAGUGAGCUUGUUGGGAUGUCAUUCAGUACGAGAGGAGGAUGCAGACUUGAUCCAGUCUGUUGGUUGCUGUGCUUCGUUGUUCUGAACAUUUGGAAAAUGAGAAAUUUUACUGUUUUCCAUAGGUGGUUUGUGGCAAGUGAACUUGUCUGGAUGUCGUUCAGACUUGAUCCAGUUUGUUGGUUGAUCGCCUCGGCCGAGCAAGAGUCUGGCAACGUCGACAAAGGCGUGGUGCGCGAGCCUCCUCUUUGUCCGGGCGACCGAGCCGGCGUGCUACACCGGCGCCCCGCAGUCAGCAGGGAACUGCUUUCCAACCAUGGCGACAAUCCCCUCGCGCAACAGGCACAGGAACAAUCCAGUCUCCCGAUCCGCUUCGUAGAACCCCCUCAGACCCACGUCUUUCUCCUCUUCCUCGCCCUCCUUGUCCAUCGUCCAGUGGGUAGAAGGGGUUGGGUGAACACCGCCAUGGUAAAAUGGUGGAGGUGCUACGGGGAGGCGGUGGCGGUGUAUCUAGGGGCAUUGGCGCUGCCCCUGAUCUGCUGCCCCAGCUGCAAGGAGAAGGUGCGCAUGUACCUCUCGACGACUGAGAAGCACGACGGGUGGAUCAUUUACAAAUGCCGGAAGCAUGGGGUUAGUGGUUCUGAGCUAGCACUGAUGAAUACAUCCAGAAGCAGGUGCAACAAGGCCGUGAAGAAUGAAGUAAGCUAUGGGAUGAGUAGGCAGGAAGCUUGUGCAUUGAAGAUGUCAGGGAGGGAGCUGGUGAAGCUCAUGAAGAUGCUAGUUGGUGUUGUGGGCGUUUGGGAAGGACAGGCAGCCACCGCGACGCGCUCGCGCCCAGCCUCCGCAUGCCCUCUUCUCCUGCUUGGCGUAGGUGUCGUGCUCCGACUCUGCGACGCCGAGCUAGAGUGUCCCUGGUUGAUCCGGCUCUUGCAACAGGUGUUCCUCUUUGAUGUGGUCUUCGAGCGGUCCUCGGCCCAGCUAGAGUACUACCUGCCGAUCUUCGGCACCAUCGACAACUUGGUCCGGCCGCUCAAACGCGGCUCCGGCCUCCUCGACUCUGACCUCGAGACGGUAGUCAAGCCAAAUGUCAAGCUCCUGAGAGAAUGCGGGCUAGGUGCUUGUGAUAUUGCCAAGCUGCUCACCCGUGUGCCAAUGUUGCAGAGCUCCAAACCAGAGUGUGUCCUGGCGAUGGUUGCGUGCGCCGAAGGUAUAGGUGUGCUCCGUGGAUCUCGGAUGUUCAGGCAAGCGCUGCAGGCUGUCUCAUACUUCAGCGAGGAGAAGAUCGCUGCCAGAGUGGACUACUUGAAGAAAACGUUUAGGUGGUCAGAUGCCGAGGUCGGCAUUGCAGUGUCCAAGGCUCCGUCUCUGCUCAGGAGUUCAAAGAAGAUGCUACAGCACAGGUCCGAGUUCCUUAUCUCUGAGGCGGGGCUAGGGCCAGCCUACAUUGCUCAUCGGCCGGAUAUGCUCGUUCUUAGCGUGGAGGUCCGGCUAAGACCCCGUUACUAUGUUAUGAAGUUUCUCAAGGAAAAUGGAUUGCUCAAGCGUGACCUAAGCUACAAUACAAUUGUCAAGGUCACCGAAAAGCUAUUCUUGGAGAAGUUCAUAUGCCCUCACAAGGAAGAUGCACCACACCUCGCUGAAGACUAUGCAGCCGCUUGCAGAGGCAGAUUUGUAUGCCCUCACAAGGAAGCUGCCCCCACCUCGCCGAAGACUAUGCUGCCACUUGUAGGGAAAUGCCUUCUAAUUUCAGAGUUACAUGACCAAGAAAGGGCCAUGAGAAUUCUUAACUGCGAAUGGCGCAAAAAUGUUUACACUAUGUGUAUAUGUCACGUACAUGCUAAUUUAGCGUCGCUGGGCCUGAAUGAAACUGAUAAUUUUAUCUGGACGGAAUUGUCUCCCCCGCUGAACGAGCAUCGCCAGAAUGCCUGA